CGUGAGCUUCGGGUCCGGGUGGGCAACCACGUGGCCGUUGCUGUCGAUCAACAUCCCGAAGCUCGCGGGCGUCGGGUGGAUCGUCUUCACGUUCGCGA
rnacentral:tRNA from 1 species